rnacentral:rRNA from 1 species
AGAAUCAACGCUGGCGGCGUGCCUAACACAUGCAAGUCGCACGAGAAAGGGGCUUCGGCCCUGAGUAAAGUGGCGCACGGGUGAGUAACACGUGAAUCAUCUACCUCCGAGUGGGGAAUAACCUAGAGAAAUCUGGGCUAAUACCGCAUAACACUUACGAGUCAAAGCAGCAAUGCGCUUGGAGAGGAGUUCGCGGCCGAUUAGCUAGUUGGCGGGGUAAUGGCCCACCAAGGCGAUGAUCGGUAUCCGGCCUGAGAGGGCGCACGGACACACUGGAACUGAAACACGGUCCAGACUCCUACGGGAGGCAGCAGUGGGGAAUUUUGCGCAAUGGGGGAAACCCUGACGCAGCAACGCCGCGUGGAGGAUGAAAUAUCUUGGUAUGUAAACUCCUUUCGAUGGGGAAGAUUAUGACGGUACCCAUAGAAGAAGCCCCGGCUAACUUCGCGCCAGCAGCCGC